GACGAGGGUCGGGCUGCAAGAACAUGCUCGAACGGAAGGAGGGGCGGUGUUAUCCUUCCAACCAAUCGGGGAGACACAGUGACGGGACUGGAAUUCGAACCUCCUUCGGAACGUGUGACGGGCGGGGUUAGUGCUCCAACCAAUCAGUACACGGGAAGGCGGGUCUAACAACGUGACCAGAGCAUGCGCCGUAGGCGUGAUGGAGCCAGAAUGUUGUUCUCUGGAUUGAAGGGAGGUCUCUUGUCUGUCCAUUCUUUUUAUAGAGCAUUCAAUGGGAAGGAUUCCCAAAUCAUCAAUUUCAACCCGAUAUCACAGCAAAGUCUAACAGAGUCACUCUUUUCAGCAGUAUCUCAGUGUCAUCGGUCUUUCACCGUGCAAGACAUUGCUGUCUAAGCCAGAAUAUACUGCCCAUCUAUGAUUGCUAAGGGGGCUGUCAAGAGUCAACUGCAUUGUUGUUGGGUUGGAGUCACAUGUAGGCCAGACCAGGCAAUUAGACAGUAAGUUCAAAUCAAAUGUGAGAUCAAGAGCUGCCAGCAGUGUUCAGUUCUCAGGACCUGAGUAUCACCAGCCUUGGAAUAUGGAAGGAAAAAGCAUCGUUCACAGUGAAGAGAAACUGUACAGGUGGUCUGUGUGUGGACAAGGCUUCAGUCAAUCGUCUGGACUGUCGCUAUGUAAAUGCAAUCACAAUAAGGAAACAACAAUUGUGCUAAGCAGCACUUGCUUUGCAAUAUCAUGCUCAUAAAUCUCAGUUUCAGUUAAGCAAGAUUCACUCAA